rnacentral:rRNA from 1 species
CCUACGGGAGGCAGCAGUGAGGAAUAUUGGUAAAUGGACGAGAGUCUGAACCAGCCAAGUAGCGUGAAGGAUGACUGCCCUAUGGGUUGUAAACUUCUUUUCUAUGGGAAUAAAACGUUCCACGUGUGGGAUUUUGUAUGUACCAUAUGAAUAAGGAUCGGCUAACUCCGUGCCAGCAGCCGCGGUAAUACGGAGGAUCCGAGCGUUAUCCGGAUUUAUUGGGUUUAAAGGGAGCGUAGGUGGAUUGUUAAGUCAGUUGUGAAAGUUUGCGGCUCAACCGUAAAAUUGCAGUUGAAACUGGCAGUCUUGAGUACAGUAGAGGUGGGCGGAAUUCGUGGUGUAGCGGUGAAAUGCUUAGAUAUCACGAAGAACUCCGAUUGCGAAGGCAGUUCACUGGACUGCAACUGACACUGAGGCUCGAAAGUGUGGGUAUCAAACAGGAUUAGAUACCCCGGUAGUC